rnacentral:rRNA from 1 species
AUACAAGGGGCGCAGCCUGAUGCAGCCAUGCCGCGUGAUGUGAAGAAGGCCUUCGGGUUGUAAAGCACAUUUCAGCGAGGAGGAAGGGUUCAGUGUUAAUAGCACUGUGCAUUGACGUUACUCGCAGAAGAAGCACCGGCUAACUCCGUGCCAGCAGCCGCGGUAA